ACACAUGCAAGUCGAGCGGAUGAAGGGAGCUUGCUUCCUGGAUUCAGCGGCGGACGGGUGAGUAAUGCCUAGGAAUCUGCCUGGUAGUGGGGGAUAACGUCCGGAAACGGGCGCUAAUACCGCAUACGUCCUGAGGGAGAAAGUGGGGGAUCUUCGGACCUCACGCUAUCAGAUGAGCCUAGGUCGGAUUAGCUAGUUGGUGGGGUAAAGGCCUACCAAGGCGACGAUCCGUAACUGGUCUGAGAGGAUGAUCAGUCACACUGGAACUGAGACACGGUCCAGACUCCUACGGGAGGCAGCAGUGGGGAAUAUUGGACAAUGGGCGAAAGCCUGAUCCAGCCAUGCCGCGUGUGUGAAGAAGGUCUUCGGAUUGUAAAGCACUUUAAGUUGGGAGGAAGGGCAGUAAGUUAAUACCUUGCUGUUUUGACGUUACCAACAGAAUAAGCACCGGCUAACUUCGUGCCAGCAGCCGCGGUAAUACGAAGGGUGCAAGCGUUAAUCGGAAUUACUGGGCGUAAAGCGCGCGUAGGUGGUUCAGCAAGUUGGAUGUGAAAUCCCCGGGCUCAACCUGGGAACUGCAUCCAAAACUACUGAGCUAGAGUACGGUAGAGGGUGGUGGAAUUUCCUGUGUAGCGGUGAAAUGCGUAGAUAUAGGAAGGAACACCAGUGGCGAAGGCGACCACCUGGACUGAUACUGACACUGAGGUGCGAAAGCGUGGGGAGCAAACAGGAUUAGAUACCCUGGUAGUCCACGCCGUAAACGAUGUCGACUAGCCGUUGGGAUCCUUGAGAUCUUAGUGGCGCAGCUAACGCGAUAAGUCGACCGCCUGGGGAGUACGGCCGCAAGGUAAAACUCAAAGGAAUUGACGGC
rnacentral:rRNA from 1 species